rnacentral:rRNA from 1 species
GAUGAACGCUGGCGGCGUGCCUAACACAUGCAAGUCGAGCGAGAAGUUUGAAAAAUGAGUUUUCGGACAAGUGAUUCAAACGGAAAGCGGCGGACGGGUGAGUAACGCGUAGGCAACCUGCCCCGUGCAGAGGGACAGCCUCGGGAAACCGGGAUUAAGACCUCAUGAUAUCGGGUUAUCACAUGGUAAUCAGGUCAAAGAUUAUCGGCAUGGGAUGGGCCUGCGUCUGAUUAGCUGGUUGGUGGGGUAACGGCCUACCAAGGCGACGAUCAGUAGCAGAACUGAGAGGUUCAUCUGCCACAUUGGAACUGAGACACGGUCCAAACUCCUACGGGAGGCAGCAGUGAGGAAUAUUGCACAAUGGGCGAAAGCCUGAUGCAGCAACGCCGCGUGAGCGAAGAGGCCUUUGGGUCGUAAAGCUCUGUCCUUGGGGAAGAAACAAAUGACGGUACCCUUGGAGGAAGCCCCGGCUAACUACGUGCCAGCCGCCGCCGUAA